rnacentral:lncRNA from 1 species
GAGAGGACGCGGAGCGCGCCAUCCGUUAUCUUAACGGCUAUGGGUAUGACAACCUCAUUCUGCGCGUCGAGUGGGCCCAGCCCCGCGAGAAGUAGAGUGUCACACCUCCAAUUUGCUCUCCAGCAAUACUGCGUUUUCAGUUGCCAGAGCCGUUGGCAUUCCGGCCGGUAACAGCAGGAUUUGGCCAUGCAGAGCUAGCAGCGGCCUGCCGUAGCUGCAUUUAGGUAGUUAGAUUUGACAGGACGGAGUCUGGUUGGACACGGCAGAAAAGGCAGGACCUGUGUGCCACGGAAAUGCUCUUCUGCAGUGACGAUUGUCUACUCGUUGUCUGUGAACCAGCGCGUUCCACGAGCCGAUGCGCUUUUUCGCUUUUAUGCAUAUGGGUUGUGCUACUGGCCUGCGAGUAGUCUGGGGCUCGGUUCUAGGCCAAAAUUAGGUAGGGCUAGGUCUGGGGACACCUGUCUGAGGUGGGCGCAUGACAUUCCCAACUACAGUGGGGGAUGUCGAUUGAGGGCAAACUACGGAUGGGACAGGCACGGUUGCCAGGUGCAGGAGGAAUGGGUCCGUGUACACUGUUCCACGCAGUUUGCUGCAAAGGCGACAGCGUUGUUGCCUGUUGCAAGGGAUAUUAAUUGUGCUGCGAAGACGCCAUGCCUUCGUCGGGUGUGAAACUACGCGACUUGUCGACAGUCUUAAGGGGGCCUAAGGGAGAUGCAGCUCGCUUGGAUGGAUGGCAGUGCUGUUUACAGUGGACAGCGGCUUAGCUGUGGGUCGCAGGAAUGGAAGGACUUCUGCGAUGCUUAUCCUGAUGAGUCAACGUGGAUUCAGUUAUGUUACAAUGGUUUCGGUUGUAACCUAUACGCGUGAAGUUCGCACACCAUGCGUUGCCUUCCUUAUAAAGCUUUGUUUAAGACCUGCAGACAAGAAGACACGGAGGUUACGCGCAUGUGGAUUAUUGGUCGGCUUUCGCCAAUUGGUAUUUGCUGUACGGCACCGUACAGUACAGUUGGUUGGACCUAGUAGAGCCCAAAGUAUGCUAUGUGCAGCUACACAUUUUUAUGGCCGGGGUUAAUACAAAGUGCCAACAUGCCGCUGUUAGGGCGGAAACCUUAUGUUCCGCCCGCCCCGAGCGUUCCCGGUGGGAUACCGGACGAUGAGAACGUUUUUGUAGUCCGGUUGACCGGGGAAGUGUUCACUGAUUACGAUGCGUAUUUGGAGCAGCUUGCGCACUACAGGGCGGCCAAAUGGACCUGUUCUGUCACAGGACGGGGCGGGCUCACUUUUGAGCAGGCAUUGCUGUCAGAGCAGGAGGCCAACCAGUUGCUUCAGCAGUGUACGUUGUCCCUUCUCUAUAACGAUAAAGAAUUGGUACAGGUCUCAGCUAUUUGCUGACCGUUGCGCAGUUCCCGCCGAACUCGAGGGGCCAUUCUGUGGCGUUGUUCACCAUAACACGCUUCGCUUGGAGGAGCUGGUGACACAUUUGGCAGAUGUGUCAAAAAGUUAUAAAAUAUUUGCACCUGGCGGUGCCGAAACCAUGACGGGAAAGCCCGGCAAGCAGGCGCCCCUCCCAAAGCC